AUACCGGGUGCUGUAAGCAU
rnacentral:rRNA from 1 species